GACGAACGCUGGCGGCGUGCUUAACACAUGCAAGUCGAACGGAAAGGCCCUGCUUUUGUGGGGUGCUCGAGUGGCGAACCGGUGAGUAACACGUGAGUAACCUGCCCUUGACUUUGGGAUAACUUCAGGAAACUGGGGCUAAUACCGGAUAGGAGCUCCUGCUGCAUGGUGGGGGUUGGAAAGUUUCGGCGGUUGGGGAUGGACUCGCGGCUUAUCAGCUUGUUGGUGGGGUAGUGGCUUACCAAGGCUUUGACGGGUAGCCGGCCUGAGAGGGUGACCGGCCACAUUGGGACUGAGAUACGGCCCAGACUCCUACGGGAGGCAGCAGUGGGGAAUAUUGCACAAUGGGCGGAAGCCUGAUGCAGCAACGCCGCGUGCGGGAUGACGGCCUUCGGGUUGUAAACCGCUUUCGCCUGUGACGAAGCGUGAGUGACGGUAAUGGGUAAAGAAGCACCGGCUAACUACGUG
rnacentral:rRNA from 1 species